GUAUCCAGCCUGCUAGAGAAAUUAAGGGUUUCAUCAUCUUCUUCGAUAUGUUGGUAUGUAAACCAAAAAUGGAGAUUAAGCAUGUCGAGAUUGACGAACCGUCGUGAAUAGAAUCUGUGUGGUGUGUCGAUAGUAUCGAAUCGCUUUCAGUUCGUCCCCUCCGAGACGUUACGGGAUCUCUUGAAUCAUGGUCUUUAAGAAACAUCUUAACUCCAUCGACGCAAAUCAAGCACGAAGAUUCAUUAAAUGAUAAUUAUCACAAUUCUAGGCAGUGGUUCUCCAUCUAUAAAAAGACCGGACGGUGAAGCUUUGUUCCACAGUCAAGGUUAGGAUGCUGAGAUUCUGGGAAUCUAUGAAAUCAGUGGUGAAUUGAUGGAGGUGGACAUGCUAAGGCUAUUGAAUCUCACAAUUAUAGUAUUUUUGCACUAUUCCGGCUUUCACAUUCAUAUGCGACUGUCAUGCCAGCCACCCUGUGUUCACCGGCUCGCCACUUUCAGUCAACGAUGAUAUCCGUCGUACACCUAUGACCGUUGGCAACUAGAGGGUUCAUUGAUGAGAGAAUCAUGCAAUUGCGUCGUCUUCUUUUGGGCCUAAAUAUUACGUGUUGAUACUGUCUUUCGUCUAUAAAGAUCAGCUCGAGCCUAGAUGGUCGAUCUUGAUGCACAAUAAGGUUCUCUCUGUUGGGUUUUUACAAGAUGUGGUGGAUCCGAUGGUGUAUGUGAUGAAAGGAAGCUUCAAGAUCAUCAAUCACCAUGCCUUCUUCAAAUGGAGUUACCAAAAAGAGACGUAUUCUCAGGAUUUCCCACUACAAAGACCUUGACGUUAGGAGAUGCAACUGCCAUUCCAGGGUCUCAAGGUUUUGCACCAAUCAGAAGUUCACAUAAGGACCUGGUCUGUAUCACCUUCUCUCAACAAAGGGAACAAGCAAUCCUCGAGUUCCAUUGCAAAACCUUCGAGAGCUUGGAUUAAUCUCUCUGAUCCAAGAAGUUUCAAAACAAUGGGUUGGUAUGGUCAAAUACUGCACCAGAAGCAAGCUACACCCGGGAAACCAAGUUCAUAAAAGGAGUAACUUACUUUGAAGAGAGGUGGUUAGAUGUCAUUCCUGUAGCACCUGAAACCGCAAUAUUGAUCAUUCUCUUUAAUAAUUUUUGUCUCCUCUUCCUGCAAACACACACACACACACAUGGUAACUCAAAAUCAAAGAAGAUUGCAGCGUUAGAUAAAAACAGUUAUAAAUAUGCUAUCUUACAAGCAUCUGAUCAGAUAAAUGUUGAACCUUUGAUAGAGUGCAAAGUAAUUAGUAGCGUAAAUAGACUUACUUCUGAGAAACAGAGCACGUGAUUCUGGAGUUGGAAGUUGUAUCGAAAUAUGUAUUCUCAUGCAUUGAUUGCUUAAACUCUCUGGAAAGAUAUUUUUAUUGAUAAUGCUUAA